rnacentral:ncRNA from 2 species
AAUGGCAAUUACAAUGGAAAGCAAGGCUGUAAGGCGGAGCGAAUCCGGAAAGAUUGCCUCAGUUCGGAUUGUUCUCUGCAACUCGGGAACAUGAAG